UGCUCAACAUCACAUAUCAUCAGAGAAAUACAAAUCAAAACUACAAUGAGAUAGCACCUCACACAUGUCGGAAUGCCUAAAAUCAACCAUACAAAAAACAACAGCCAUUGAUGAGAACGUGGAGAAAGGGGAACCUUCUUGCAUUGUUGGUGGGAGUGCAAACUGGUGCAGCCAAUCUGGAGAAGAGUAUGGACAUUCCUCAUAAACUUUAAAAAGGGAAAUAC